AGCAGUAGCGCGGUAAUACGGAGGGAGCUAGCGUUGUUCGGAAUUACUGGGCGUAAAGCGCGCGUAGGCGGUUACUCAAGUCAGAGGUGAAAGCCCGGGGCUCAACCCCGGAACUGCCUUUGAAACUAGGUGACUAGAAUCUUGGAGAGGUCAGUGGAAUUCCGAGUGUAGAGGUGAAAUUCGUAGAUAUUCGGAAGAACACCAGUGGCGAAGGCGACUGACUGGACAAGUAUUGACGCUGAGGUGCGAAAGCGUGGGGAGCAAACAGGAUUAGAUACCCGUGUAGUCCCUGUCUCUUAUACA
rnacentral:rRNA from 1 species